rnacentral:tRNA from 1 species
UAUAUUGUGGUGUAAAGGGCACAAAAAGUUUUGAUCUUUAGGGUAUUGGUGCAAGUCCAUUCUAUAUAG